GUAGGUGGCAAGCGUUGUCCGGAUUUAUUGGGUUUAAAGGGUGCGUAGGCGGUCCUAUAAGUCAGUGGUGAAAUACGGCAGCUCAACUGUCGAGGUGCCAUUGAUACUGCAGGACUAGAGUACUGAUGAGGUAGGCGGAAUGGACGGUGUAGCGGUGAAAUGCUUAGAUAUCGUCCAGAACACCGAUAGCGAAGGCAGCUUACUAAGGAGUAACUGACGCUGAGGCACGAAAGUGUGGGGAUCAAACAGGAUUAGAUACCCUGGUAGUCCACACUGUAAACGUUGAUCACUAGAUGUUGGCGAUACACUGCCAGCGUUCCAGCAAAAGCGAUAAGUGAUCCACCUGGGGAGUACGCCCGCAAGGGUG
rnacentral:rRNA from 1 species